UCUUAAACAGAUUCCACACUAGCCCAACAUGGGGCUCAAUCCCAUGACCCUGUUAUGACCUGAGCUGAAACCAAGAGUCAGACACUCAACUCACUGAGCCACUCAGGUGCCCCUUCAUUAUCUUUUUAUGCAUGUAUGAAGAAAGAACCAGUGAUCCUUUAUUUUAACAAUAACAAAAAAUUUUACAUGUAUGCAUGUCACAAAACAGAUGACAAUUUAAAAUUAAAUGUAUAUAUUAAGACCACCAAACAUAAUCACAGACUAAUCAGAGGUUUGCGUUUAUUUCGCAAAGACAACAAAAAUUCUGAAGUAGUCAAUAUUAUUAGAACAUUUACUAGUACUUUUUUAUCAUCUGAUUUUUUUGUGUGUGUGCAGCUAUGAGGGACAGGGGAGAUAUUAAUGGUUUAACCUUGUAAAGUGUUUUUUUUUGUUCCCAGAGUCAGAGAAGCCUACUCUUUUAACUCCUGGAAUUCUGUUAGUUUCAAGGAUGAGAAGGUCAAGGUUGGCAAUGUGGAAAUGAAGUCAAAGGUGUGGUGCUCCAGCCAUGCUGUUAAAAUGUGGACUCCUUGGAAUUUUAAGGUUUCCUCUAUUAGGGAAGCUGAGUUCAGAGAAGCCAGAGCUGAGAGAGGAAAAAGAGGCCUUGAGACCUUGUGUAUCUCGGAACUCCAAAAAUUAUUUAAGGAAGAGCUGACCCUUCUUCCCCAGGAAAAGAUGUUUUAAACAGAACAAAGAUGCAAUAACCGUAAAGAAAAAGACUGGUUAAAAUUAAGAACUUCUCUUCAUUACAAGAUAUCAUUAAUAAAGUGAGUAAGAAGCUCUAGGCUAAUGAAAGAUAUUCUUUCUUUUUCUGUCUCUGUACACACACACACACACACACACACACACACACAGGCAUGCAUAUGCUUACAUACACACACAAAGGACUUGUAUUCAAUAUGUAUAUAAUUCCUACAAAUCAAUAGGAAAAUGGCAAAAAACAGACCAAAAAAUGGACAAAAGAUUUGAAUACUUAGUAAGAGUAUAUCAAAAUGGACAGUAUCAUAUGAAAAGAUAUUACAUAACCACUUAUCAGAAAAUGCUAAUUAAAAUCACAAUGAGAUACUACUGUGCACCUAUCAGAAUGGACUAAAAUGAAACGAUUAACAAUAUCAAGUGACGGCCAGUUUGAAAAGUAACUAUACUUUGCAGUGGAGAGUAAAUUAAGUCAAUCACU